ACAGACCAGUGGAAAAGGAGGAAUCUGAGUGUGGUCCAGGCAGGCUUGGGAAGGAGUAUUCACCAGUUCCUGGGGGAAAAAAAAAUUAGAGGCUUAUUUCAGAAAUUGAGACUUUCUUGUAAACGCCAUUCGUCUGGGAGCACUGAAGAGCCAGAGUCAGCGGGAGAGAGAAGACAGUUAUCACCACCAGAGGCGAAGAACAACAUCUGUAAAUGGUACAUUUAGGAAUUUCCAGCCCACAUGACUCAAGGUUCUUCCACCAUCCCCUGGACAGAAAAGAGAAGACCCCGUCAAGGAAGACUUUGUCUCCCACACAGAAAACAGACACUCAAAUUUGAGACUAAAGGAGAAGUAAAAACAUUGUGAGCCAUGUUACUUGCAAAUAAAUAUUCAGAUGGCAGGGAGAGCACAUUUCACAAUAACUAAUAAAAGUGAAGUGUGUUUUCUGACCUGUUCAAACUAA